rnacentral:sRNA from 1 species
UCAACUUGUCAAACCGAAAAUAUUUCCAUUCAACAUAAUUAAGUUUGUCGCGUAAAAGUUGUAUUGUGUGGCAAGAUUUGCUGACCAGCACUCGCAUAUAUCAAUAGGUAUAUUGUUGUAAAAAUUGAGAAUUUAAGGAAGAGCGGCGGAAACUGAGGGAUGGAAGCGAAAGUAUGGAAGAUGAAGAAUGAAAGGUCAUGGAUAAACUAUUAUAUAAAAGUUGAAGUAUGGAAGACUGGAUAUGGAAGACUGGAUAUUUCCAUAUCAUGGAUAUGAAGAAUAGAGGAUUAAAGAUGGAAUAUGAAUGAUGGAAGAUGGAAGAUUGAAGAUGGAAGACGGAAAAUGGAUUAUGGAUUAUGCAAUAUGGAAUAUGGAAUAUGGAAUAUGGACUAUGAAAUAUGUAAAACUAUGGAAGAUGAAGAAUGAUGAACGGAAGAAGGAUGGCAGAUGGAAUCUGUAAGCUGGAAGUUGGAUUAUGAACGAUGGAUUACGGAGUAUAGAUCAUACAAUAUGGAAUAAUAAAGAUGGAAUAUGAGGGAUAGAAGAUACAAGGCGGAAGUUUGAAAACGGAUAACGAAAAAAGAUAGAUGAAAAGAGAGAAAGAUGAAGCACGCAAAAUGUGAUCUCUUCUAUAAUGCGAUCUCUCUAAAUCAGUGGAAUUUUCUAGCAGUAUUCCAAUACUCUUGCGUACAGGAAGCAUUCAACGGCUUGAUAUUUCCUUGACCAUUUGGUAAGCCAAUUGUCAUAUCGUGCAGAACCAACCAGAAAGAAAAACGAGCCAAACAAACAACUCAACACAGCACAUUAUUGCAUUCAACUAUUCAAACUUGUUGCACUCGAAUGCAGCUCCAACUCUCACUUGGAAUCGAAACGCAGCUAAUUGUUUACUAUUGCCAUUUAGUUAAAUUGGCUUUUCAUAAAUUGUGUGUGGUAAACUUUUGAGAGCCGCGCAAUGCUGCUUUAUUGUUAUACAACAACCGUUAGAAUUGGCUGCUAAUUAAAUUAUGUUUGGCUUAAUUGAAGUACGGAAUGACUUGGUUUUUCUUUUGAGCACUGAACUCAACUUGG